UAAUUUAAUACGCCAGACGCGCGUUUCGUCUACAUAAGACUCAUCAGUGACGCUCAGAUCAAAAUAGUUGUAAAGCCAAAGAAGUACAAAGUUAAAAGGAAGUUACCACAAUGCACUUACACGUGAACUCGUGCUGACCCGCAAGAUCAUUGACCAAUAAGAAAGAUGAAAUCCAAUCAUGCAUUGGUCAUAAGUGAAAUUUCUCUGCACGUGAAAACAUGUUAUCUAAUUUCAACAAUUUAUCGUUUAAUUAAGUAGGACACUCUGACCCUUUGACCAGACUAGAGACAUCAUACAUUUAGAGUAUUAAUAGCUCACGCUUUUAUUUAAGUCGGUUAGUAAUAACCAAUUAAAACAGAAUUAUCUUCUCUGCUGUCUUAAAUUAUUUUAUUCCGCUAAAUUUUCAAUUAGCAAAUAAAAU
rnacentral:lncRNA from 1 species